UCUCUCCCGGCCUUGGUCGCCAAAGAGAGACAGGGUUCGGGGUCUUCGAUUCCCCUUCCAUCGAAUCCCGACUACUACUGUACGGGAAAUCGGCUGCGGGGUGGUCAGUGCGUUCUCGAUUUCCUCUCCUCGACGCUGCUUUCUCGGCUUUUAUCAGGUCCUUAAAGUAAUCUUCUCCAAAACCAUUGAACAUCAGUAAUGUUGUAGCAAACUAAUGCAUGGCCUUGUGCACCUCGAACCAGAAGGAUUAUGCUGCCAAGCCCCAUCCUUUGUACUUGCAGGACAUUCAGUUUGAUUGCAACUGGGAAGAUGUGACACGCCCAAUCUGUUUGAAUUUCCCUCACAAUGGGGUUCUUCUCUGGUGGUCUUUUUAUGAGAAGGGGAUGUCGGCCUUUCAUGUGUGAUAAAUUGUCUCGAGCAGUUCAAAAGUGCAUAUGGAGCACCUGUCGUUGUAAAAAUCACACCAACUAUAGAUGGGAUAACCAUGGAUGGCAUUCAAGAUAUUCUCCAAACUCCAGCUCCACCAACCUGUCCACUGUGUAGAGGGAAUGUUACUCUGCUGAUCGUUAUUGAUGAGACUUGUGUUUAUCCAAACAUGAAGAAAUGAUGGUGUGAAGAAAAACACUGUUCAUAUAUCAUCAAUUUUUCUGAGCUGUGGAAGCAUGGUCAACUAAAACACCCCUACUCCCACCCUUCAAAAAUACAACCCUGCACGACAACUUGACCAGGAAAAUUUCAGCAGCCCUCACAGAUCAUAGAUGUCUUGAGAACUACACAUGCAGAAGUACCCCAUGGAGUGGCUUUAGGUGAGUACGUCAUCGAACAUGGGGAUGCAGAUGUCAGAGAUGAGCAUGAAGGUUUUCCUCGGAGCAGGGGUAACUGGUGGGACUCCUGCAUAUUCUUUAAGGGAUUGCAUAGGGGUUCAAGAAACUGGCACAGAUCAAGAGAAAGUGGAAGAAGCAGGGUCACUGUUCAAAUUCUGAUGGUUCAAAUCUAGGUAAUGAGUCCACAAAUCUGUAGAUAUAAGAGAAUACAGAUUUGUUGAAACCGAUGACGAGCUUGCGAGAAUAGGUGCUGGUGCAGCAACAUCGGACAGGUAAGAGUGAUCCCUUAUUCUUUUCUUAGAAACUCAGGGGUCUGUAUUUUGCAGAGCAUGAUAUUUCCCCUCUUAGAAUCUGUGAUUUGCUUCUAAGGAGCUUCUCUUUGCUGAUAUUAUCAUGACAUCUCAUUUCUAUGGUCAUUGACAAACAAGAAACCACAGUAGCCGGUCUAUCAUCCAGGGGCAUCUUUUCAGCUUCACGGCUUAGUUCUGGCACCUUCAUAGAGUUCGUCAGUUGACAGUUAUAUCUGCGCAUAUUAAUGGAGUAUGGUAUGUAGUGCACCAUGCAUCCCUUGCUGCAAUCUAAGGAUUCAUCAAUGUAAUUCUUGUCCUUGUGUUA